GCAAGUCGAACGGCAGCACGGGAGCUUGCUCCUGUGGCGAGUGGCGGACGGGUGAGUAAUACAUAGGAAUCUAUCCAGUAGCUGGGGAUAACCCGGAGAAAUCCGGGCUAAUACCGAAUACGCACUACGGUGGAAAGAGGGGGAUCUUCGGACCUCUCACUAUCGGGUGAGCCUAUGCCGGAUUAGCUAGUUGGUGGGGUAAAGGCCUACCAAGGCGACGAUCCGUAGCUGGUCUGAGAGGACGAUC
rnacentral:rRNA from 1 species